GGCCCAAUGGUCUAGUAGCAUGAUUUUCCCUUCGGGCUUUGCACCGCCAGUCACAUCACGUGAUUCAAUGGGAGAGGUCCCGGGUUCAAUUCCCGGUUGGGCCC